CCCAUGUGCUGGGAGAGGGACAGGGAGGAAGCUCUCCCUUCCUGGUGGCCCGGCCCUGAGUAGGGGUCAGUGAGGGGUCUUUAACUGACUCCCAGGCCCCUCUCCAAGCCCCUCUAUGAGCAGAGAGGCUGAUGCCCUUUCUGCUUUUCCACAACUGAGAUCUCACCUCCACAGAGGGACCUCCACCCCUCCCCAUCCCUGCUUCCCCAGAGUUACUGCCUACAUCCCACUGGCCUCAGUUUGGGCAUCUGAGAAAAGGGAACCUCACUCAGCACUCCUAAACUAUACUUCACCUAAAAGACAGAGAAGCCUGGAAGAGGGCACAGCAGUGGUAAAGAAGCCAAAUUAGAGGGCUGGAGCUGCCGCUGGGAGAGAGGAGCUGGUCACCUGAAUUAGGAAACACUUGGCAGAUGAGCAGCUGGAAGCGAGGCAAAAGAUGCUCAAUGAAUCUAGAGAACAUUUUUGAAACUUUUACAUGUGGACAUCUCCUAGAGAAACUUCAGAACACGAGACACGAAAAGGAAAUCGCAGAAGAACCCGGAGAGGAACGGAAGUGUACUGCUCGAGAACGUUUGGAUUAACAGGAUGCUUCUCAACAGCGACGAGAGUGGCCCAAAACAACAGGAAACGUCCUCAAAGUGCUGAGAGGACACAGGCGUCCAGCUAGAAUUUUCACCCAGCUAAGGGGUUACUCGAGAGUGAGCGUGAAACAGGCGUUUCAGAAGGGCUGAGAGCACUGUCCUUUGCUGGAACCCCCCUCAGAGGGGACCUGAGGCAGAAGGAGGGGAGCCCCAGGAGGAGGAGCAGCAAACAGGGGUGAAACGUGGGGACGCAGUGCAAUACAUACUGACAGUGAUCAUUAGUUGUAUCAAGAAUGAAGAUUUCGGUGAUGACAAAAUAGAACUAAAAUAGUAGAUGAUAAUGCCGUGUAACAUGAAAACCGUAGAGACCGGAGUGAACGCAUUCAAAGGUGACUGUGGGAUUCAAGAGAAUGGUAGAGAUCAACCAAGUCUGACUUUCAGUCAAGUAUGCGUGCUAAAAAUUAAGAGCAAGCGUUAAAAGAAUAGAUUGGAUUGAAUCAAAUGGAGAUGCUGAUGUCUGACCAGUUUCGACCAACAUAACGGCAAUUUCACGUGGUUCAGCCUAAUACACUGUGUAACUUCCAGACGAACAAAGGUAAAGCGGAGACCACUCCGCCAUACCAAAGGCAGGCAGGAAAGGCAGUGGAGGAGAGGAGCCAGGAGAGCCAUAUGUGCCCCCAAAAGGCGACGAUAGAAGCUGGAGAGGAAACUCUGCAAUUAAAACACAAACUCUAGGAUUAGUGGAAUUUGACGGCAUGAGUUAGUGUCAGAGACAGAAGGGCGAGUGGAAAAGCAGGGCGCCCAGGACAUACACAGGUUGAUACCAUCCAUGCAAAACUUAAAGCACGGAGACGAGACCAGGCACUGUGUCUGGGGACACGAAAACUGUGUGCACCUGCCCGGGACCAAAACACAGCUGCACGAUGGUGACUGAAAAUUGAAAACAAAAUUAUAGAAGAAUGAGAGGACCAGCUAAUGGAAAAAUGAGCGAAAGACUUGAGCAGACGCUUUAUGAACGAGACACCCGGACGGCCAAGACAACUAGGCAGCGUCAGUCACUGCCCUCAGUGAGCAGGAAAAUGAGCACACGCCUCGAAUGAGCUCCCCGGUGCCAGGCUUCACUCCUCUGGCUCCUACUGUUUCUCUUUCCUUGCUGGCGAUUUCCUCAUGCUGAGGCAGCGCGGGGAGGAGGUCCCAUCUGGGGAACACGGAAGCCAGAAUCUGUGCCCCCCUCCCAGGGCUAGAAGCCACAGGUGCCCCGACAAGCCUUGCAGUGGUGUCCUGCAAGGAAAAACCGCUCCUUAUUGGACCCAGAGGCAGAGCUGGCUGUGGCUCGGGUGUCUGUCCAGGUCUGGAAGUCAGGACUGUGCCCCCAGCAGCAGGAAAUCCUCCAGCUCCCUGGGUGGGAGAUCCGGCAGCCUGAGUCCACGGCAUGUCCUGCUCCUGCAGAAGCGGCUGGUUCUAGCCAGAGGACUGGUCCUAGACCGAGCUCUGCUCCAGACGAGGACCUGGUAGCGCGUGUCCACCUGGCUCCACACUAUGAGAUGGUUCUUGCUCAUGGUCUGAGCCAGCCAGCUCCAAAACACGCCGGAAUUUCUAAGGGAGAAGCAGCGCAUGGGAAAAGGCAAAGGAGCAGGGGCUUGUUUAGCAAAGGGUUGGGGGGGAGGCAUGGGGGCCUCCAGGAUGCCUCAGGGGAGCCCCAUGAUGCCCAAGGGAGAGUCGGAGCUGGGGUGAGACUAAGGGUUGCGCUGUGAUGUCAGCAGGCCAAGGGUAGCUUCUGUCUAUGCACUGCGUUUUAAGCUAGUUAUCUCUUUGAAUCCUCAAAAUGGCCCUAGGAGCUAGGUUCAUCACCCUGUGUACCCAGGUGGGAAAACGAGGCUCAGCAAGCUUCCUCCACGUAUUAGGGCAGGUGCUUACUGAGUGUGUACUAAGUAGGCGCUGGGACACAGCUGUGAACCUCACAGAUGGGGCUGCUACUCCUGCAGAGCUUAAGGAAGUCGUGACCCAGAGUGGGAACCUGAAUGUGUAAGAGGAGCUGCUGAGGGACACAUGGGAGGGCUGCCUGCCUACCCAGCUGGACGUGGGGUCACUGCCCGCCUACCCACCUGGACGUGCGGUCACAGUGGUCGUACUGGAGGAAUGUCGCCCAUGUCAAGGCCCACAGAGGUCAGAAGGGCAGAGGGAACAGCGUGAGCAGAGACCCUGAGAACAGUGCUCCUUGUGGGGACCAAAGGAGUCCCCAAUAGCUGGAGGAGAGAUGGGAUGUGGGGCUCUGAUAAGAGACGAGGCUGGUGAGCUGGUGAUGGUGGCACAGAUCCCGAAGCAAAGAGGAAAGAAUGAAGGAUUUGAGCAGCAAAUGACAUACCAAAUCCUGUACCUAGAACGACCUCCUGGUUGAAGAGUGAACCACAGGCGGUUUGUGGAGAAGACUGGAGGAAGUCCGCUAGGAAGCAGCCCCUCUCUCCUGGGAGGGGCCGUGAGCUCGGCCCCUGGGGAACUGGCUGUGAGGGAGGAGCGACGCGCACGGGCUAGAGUCUGUUUAGGAGGUCAAGAUGCGAGAAGCUGGAGGUGGGCUCUGAGGCUUGGAAGACAGGGAGAAGAGAGGAGCCAGGUUUUCUGCGGGGCAGCUGGGUGAGCAGUGCGACCACUCACUGCUGAGAGGCAAGGGCUGGGGUGCAGACUGGCGACAGCUGAGGUGCCCGUGGGAGGUCGAAGGGCAGGUAUGAAGUUUGCCCCCCGCGCGAGGGCUCAGGAUCCCAGAACAGGUCUGAACGUGGGUGUCAUCACAGGGCCAGUGCCUGGUUCUAUCUCCAGAGAGAGAAGCUGAAGCCACGUAUAUGGAGGAGGCUGCCAAGGGCGGCUGGGAGCAGUUAGAGGGAAGAAUAGAGCAGGGUAGAAUCCUAAGGACACCAACCUCUACGGGGAACCUGGACGGAGAAGGAGCUACGAGGCAGACGCAGAGCAGCUGCUUUAGGAAUAAAAUGGAUGAAUGGAUACAGAAAAUGUGGUGUAUAUGUACAACGGAAUAUUGUUUGGCCGUAAAAAGAAAGACAUCCUGCCAUUUGCAACAACACGGAUGGACCUUGAACGCAUCAUGCUAAGAGAAAGAAGUCAGACAAAGACAAAUCCUAUAUGAUUCCACUUAAAUGUGGAAUCUGAAAAAGCCAAACCCAAAAAAACUGGGAGGAGAAUGGCGGUUCCCAGGGGGGGAAGGACAGGAGAGGUGUUGUUUAAGGGGACAAAUGCACAGAGAGCAGUAAAUGUGUCCUGGAGCUCGAAUGCACGGUGUCGUGAAUACAGACGAGACUGUGUUACAACCAUCAAACGUGCUAAGAGACUAGAUCUGGAGUAUUCCAACCACUGAAAAGAAAGGAUAAUUACGUGACAUGAUAGAGGUGCUGACAGUGGCACCCUGGCAGUCAUAUCACCAUAGAUGAAGGUCUCAAACCAACAUAUUGUACACCAUAAAUUUACACAAUAUUAUAUGUCAAAUAUAUUUCAAUUUUCAAAAAAGAAAUAAGAGAGAAACCAGAGGAAGAUGAGCUCCAGAUUCCACGAGAAGGAAAACCCUCCAGGCAGCAGGAAUGGCCCUGUGUCUGAGGCUGCCGAGGGGCCGCAUCGCACAAGGACCCGAGAGGACCCGCGGGUGAUCCUCAGGGUAGUGCAUCCGUGAUCUGUGUCGGGAGCCUGGAGUGGAGCCCUGGAGCUGGCAGGAUUUGCCGUGUGUCGGAUGGAGGAGGUGGUCCUGGGAGGAGCAAGUGGAGACGAGUCAGCCCACAGGGGAGAGAUGCGGGCUUGCGAGCGGACGGUGAAGUGGGCGAUGCCUGGGAGUGAGGGGGUGAGAGUGCAGGAGGCUGAGAUAUGAGCCUCGAGGAGUGCGCUGC
ensembl:lncRNA